GAGAGAAUUUGGGAACCUCUGUGCUAUAAGCAUGGAAAAUUGGGACUCAGGUAAAAAGGCUGGUUCCUGGUCGCACAGCUGGUCAUGGGCACUUUGGCAAAGGAGUGUGAGUUUUGGGGAAGCUCAAGGAAGAGGUACCAGGUAGAGAGAGGGCCAGGGCUGAGUUCACGGGCUCUUUCUAAAUGGAAAUGUCUCACAUUCAGCUGUUGUCUGCCUUUGAGUCACACAGAACCACUUGCAGGAAGAACUCUAGAGAAUUUGGGAAGAAAGGGGGAGAGGACAGACAAAAGAUGCAUUUUUCUUUCAAGAAGCAGGAAAAUGUAAGGAAAAUUGAAGGUGUUCUCAAGUGUGUCUGCUGCUGCCUGACACAGGUUAACCCCGUCGCAGGUCACUCCGCUCUGUUAAUUGCAUCCUAACCUUCCUCGGCUCUUCGGCAGCGAAAUCGCAGCAGAGGAGAUGGAGCAGCUUCGUGCGCAUUGCUCAUUUGCGCCAACGUGAAAAGAACUGCCAGGAUGCCCAGGACACCAGCUCCCUGGCUUCUGCGGUGCUUGCACAGUCCUGAAUCAGCCCGAGAGCUGUGGAUCUGCGUCCCCUGGCUGCAUAGCCGACUGCCGGCUCCAUGGAGGGGCCUGUGCCGGAGAACGCACAUGUUGACUUAUUUCUUCAGUCUAGGCCUUUCUUGGCCCCCUUGGUUAUUCAUUCUAGAUGAUACAACUCUUAUUUCAGUUCAAAUGUCUCACGGAAGAGGCAUUGAAGACAGAGUGGAUGCCCGUGUUUGUUGGCAGUAGGUAGUAUUUACCACUCCGGUUGUAGUAAAAGAACAAAAGGAGAAAUUACACCUAUUUCUCAUAUUUAAGGGAAAAGCAAUUAAAUCACCAAAGUCAGAUUCUCG
rnacentral:lncRNA from 1 species